AAGGAAUAUUGGACAAUGCCCGCAAGGGUGAUCCAGCCAUGCCGCGUGCAGGAAGACGGCCCUAUGGGUUGUAAACUGCUUUUAUACCGGAGAAAACCCCCUCUCGUGAGAGGGGCUGAUAGUAUGGUAAGAAUAAGCAUCGGCUAACUUCGUGCCAGCAGCCGCGGUAAGACGAAGGAUGCAAGCGUUAUCCGGAUUCAUUGGGUUUAAAGGGAGCGUAGGUGGCCUUAUAAGUCAGUGGUGAAAUCUCUCGGCUUAACCGAGAAAUUGCCAUUGAUACUGUAGGGCUUGAGUAUAGUUGCCGUUGGCGGAGUAUGACAUGUAGUGGUGAAAUACAUAGAGAUGUCAUAGAACACCGAUUGCGAAGGCAGCUAACGAAACUAUAACUGACACUGAGGCUCGAAAGUGCGGGGGAUCACACAGGAUUUAGAUACCCUGGUAGUCCACGCCCUAAACGAUGGAUACUCGACAUACGCGAUACACAGUGUGUGUCUGAGCGAAAGCAUUUAAGUAUCCCGCCUGGGAAGUACGACCGCAAGGUUGAACUCAAAGGAAUUG
rnacentral:rRNA from 1 species